UAAGGACUGACAAUGAGGGAAGCAGGACUUAGAUUGCAACCCAAUUUGAGCUGAUUUUCUGUGUCCACCAUAGUAAGGACAUUCAGAGAAGAGAACAGAAUUGCAAGGCUGCCACAUGCAGGUUGAAGGACAGCUAUAUUCACUCGGGAGCAAGAGGUCGUUAUAGUUGGCAUGGUCCUUCAAGAUAAUACAAUACGACUCAGAGAAAUCCAGGAACGAGUGAUACAAGACAACACACACUUCCAGGGAAUCGACAGUGUGAGCAUUUCCACAAUUGACCGUGUCCUCCAUCGUAACAGGAUGCGAAUGAAACAAGUAUACAGAGUACCAAGGUUGAAAGAACUGCGAGCUCAGUAUGUGCAAACAAUAUUUGACUUGGAAUCCUUGGACAGACCCCAUGAGUUCAUCUUUGUCGAUGAAGCAGGCUUCAAUCUAACAAAGAGGAGAAGGAGAGGUCGAAACAUGAUUGGACGGCGGGCCAUUGUUGAAGUCCCUGGUCAAUGAGGUGGCAAUGUCACAAUCUGUGCUGCUAUCAGCAACCAUGGUGUUCUACAUCACCAUGUUACACAUAUACUGUAACACCCAGCACCUUCUAAGAUUUAUUGCCAAUCUAAGAGAUAUUUUAUUUGAGCAGCAAGUUCAAGAGCAGCAGGGUCAAGAGCUAAAUGAGAAUCCCAUUCCCACCUAUGUGAUAGUGUGGGACAAUGUCCGUUUCCACCGAGCUGCUCAGGUAAGGGAAUGGUUUAAAAUCAAUGGGCAGUUUAUGAACUUGUCCCUCCAUACUCGCCUUUCCUGAAUCCGAUUGAGGAGUUUUUCUCCUCUUGGAGAUGGAAAGUGUAUGAUAGACAACCCUACACAGAGUAAUCUGCUGCAAGCCAUGGAUUUAGCCAGUGGUGAUAUAGGUGAGGAAUCAUGUCAGGGCUGGAUACGGCACACAAGAGGCUUCUUCCCCCGUUGCCUCAGGAGGGACAAUAUAGCUUGUGAUGUCAACGAAGUGCUCUGGCCUGACCCAGCCCAAAGACAAGAAGAAGCACAUUGAUCACAUGUUUACUCCUUUGAUUUUUGUCCCUUUUAGUAUUGUAUACUGUAGUACAGUGCAUUGUAGGCUGUAUACUGUACAAUGGACAAAUUGUAUGGCCCUGAACAUUGUGUUUUCCAUUUAUUAACAGUACUGACUGAUCAAUAGAUUUUGACUGGUUGCAGGUUCAUAUCAACAAAGAACAAGAAUUACAGUAUCACAGAGACAAAGGACAAGUUUGUGAGAUGCAGGGUACAGUACUGUAAAAAUAGGGGUACAAGGAGGAGGAAGGACAAAAAAACAAAAUUGCAAAGUGCAAAGCAGAGUAGUCAUUUCUGAUCAAUUUUGAG